rnacentral:misc_RNA from 1 species
UUUCCGUAGGUGAACCUGCGGAAGGAUCAUUACAGUGUUCGCUGCCCCAGCGGGUAGCAACCCUCACCCUUGUGUAUUCUAUCUUUGUUGCUUUGGCACGCCGCCUCCGGGUACCGGCUCCGGUCGGCCAGUGCGUGUCGGAGAAGGCCCCUAAACUCUGAAUGUCGGUGUCGUCUGAGUACUAUCUAAUAGUUAAAACUUUCAACAACGGAUCUCUUGGCUCUGGCAUCGUUGAAGAACGCAGC